rnacentral:rRNA from 1 species
GAUGAACGCUAGCGGCAGGCCUAACACAUGCAAGUCGAGGGAGGAGCCUUCGGGCUUCGACCGGCGUACGGGUGCGUAACGCGUAUACAAUCUGCCUUUCACAUAGGGAUAGCCCGAAGAAAUUUGGAUUAAUACCUAAUGGUAUAUAGAUGUGGCAUCACCUUUAUAUUAAAGCUGAGGCGGUGAAAGAUGAGUAUGCGUUCUACUAGCUAGUUGGAGAGGUAACGGCUCCCCAAGGCGACGAUAGAUAGGGGUUCUGAGAGGGAUAUCCCCCACACUGGUACUGAGAUACGGACCAGACUCCUACGGGAGGCAGCAGUGAGGAAUAUUGGACAAUGGCCGGAAGACUGAUCCAGCCAUGCCGCGUGCAGGAAGACGGCCUUAUGGGUUGUAAACUGCUUUUGCAGGGGAAGAAUAAGGACUACGCGUAGUUUGAUGACGGUACUCUGCGAAUAAGCAUCGGCUAACUCCGUG